AGGAUGAACGCUGGCGGCGUGCCUAACACAUGCAAGUCGAACGCGCUCCAUUCGGUAGCAAUACUGAUGAAGAGUGAGUGGCGAACGGGUGAGUAACACGUGAGUAACCUGCCCCUAGCUCUGGGAUAGCUCCGGGAAACCGGGAUUAAUACCAGAUACGACCACUUUAGACAUCUGUCGUGGUGGAAAGGAUUCCGGCUAGGGAUGGGCUCGCGGCCUAUCAGCUUGUUGGUGGGGUAACGGCCUACCAAGGCGACGACGGGUA
rnacentral:rRNA from 1 species